rnacentral:rRNA from 1 species
GACGAACCGUGCGAACGUUAUUCGGAAUCAUUGGGCUUAAAGGGCGCGUAGGCGGGUGACCGUGUCGAAGGCUGAAAGCCCCCGGCUUAACCGGGGAACGAGCCUCGAAACGGGUCGCCUUGAGGCGAGGAGGGGGACCUGGAACGUCCGGUGGAGCGGUGAAAUGCGUUGAGAUCGGACGGAACGCCGACGGCGAAAGCAAGGUCCUGGACUCGUAAUCUGACGCUGAGGCGCGAAAGCCAGGGGAGCGAACGGG